UAUAAAGUAAACUAUAAUUAAAAGUUGUAGGUCUCAUAAACCUACCAAGGAAAUUCCCUUUAUAA
rnacentral:tRNA from 1 species